ACCAAUUUCACGAUAGGCUACUUGAUAUAAACAAGAGUUAAAUUCUUGUGCAUAUCUCGGUCACAAAAACAUCACCAAACUUCCAAAUAAAGGCCAAAACACUUCUAAUGUUAAACAUUGAAAUAAAAGUGAGCUAGAUAUACACUUGAGAAAGAUUAAUAAAAACAAGUAAAAUCAUCUAACCAAUUUUUCCAGUUCAGGAUUGCGGGUGGCCAGAGCUCAGGGCUCAAGGAGGGAAGUAACCUUGGACAGGAUACCCUUCUAUCUCAGGAUGCACUCACACUCACACCCACACUCACUCAUACUGGGAAUAUUUAGACAUGUGCACAGCUUAGACACAACCUAGCAAGCACAGCUGUGGGAUGUGGGAGGAAACCAGAGUACCCGGAGAAAACCCACACAGACCGUGGGGAGAAUGUGCAAACUCCACACAGACAGUGGCCAUGGCCUGGAAUUGAUUUUUUUUCUCAUCACCAUUAUGACAGAGUGACGUUGAACCAAACGGCGUUGAGGACCUGCUGUACUUGAAUAGAGUUUGAAGAGCCCGAUUAUUAACUGUACACUUCCGUUAGAUAAUGUGACUUUGUCUCUUCAGGAAAACAUUCAUGUGAUUUAAAUUUAUACAAAUCAGCAUUAUAUGAAAUGAUUUUAUUAUAAUUCUCCCAGUGUCACAGAAGCAAUGACUUUUAAAUACCUUUAAAUGGCCAUUAGAAUACAAGUAUUUUGCCAGAUAUAGAAGAAGGUGAAUGUAUAACAGAAAGAAAACAGCAAGAACCUAACAACAUGGAGUCAAGAAAAUGCAGAGAGUGUUCAAAUACUUUGAGUUUGACAAGACAGUGUUGUAGGGAGCUGAGAUCUGAAAAAACAGGUUGGUAAUGGACUAUAAAAGGGCUUAUCUGCAAUUCUAACAAUGUUUCCAUUUAAAGCUAUAGGCCACUGGGUGCAUUGGUGGUUUUAAAGCAAGUACCAUUGAAGCAACAAUUUAUAUGCCUCAAAGCACAAAUAGGAAUUUAUGUAUUUAAUUUUUUGAACUACCUUGAUCAGUGUUCUAACCUUGGCUACAAAUGAGAAUCACCUACAGAGCGUUAAAAACAAACAACAAAACACACACACACACACACACACACACACACACACACAAUCCCAGGGCUCCAAUCCCUGUUUUAGUUGGUUAUAACGGAGGGGGACUUGGGAUCUACAAUUCUUAAAAGCUCUCCAGAGAAUACUAAUAAGCAUAGAGGAUUAAGAACCACUGAUCCAGGUAAUUUAUUUUUACUUACUACUUUAAUAUUUCAGGCAAAAGUAAGUUCUGUACUUAUUUAUCUGGAGUACUAGCCCAACUCACAAUUAGGCCAGAAUAUUGAUACCUUAGACAAUUUCAUGAUCUCUAUUAAUGUGAAGUGAUACUGAUACUUUUAAAUAAUUUUUACGUGGCACAAAAUUGUCUGUGAGUGCCAUCUCCAAGAUGUGGUUGCAGGGCAAAGCUUAAAUAUGGAUUAAUCUUCUUUCUUAGACUAGUUUUUAAUUUGAAUUAGCUGCCACCAGGUAGAAUUAGAGUUCUGUUGCCUCAGGUGUCUGGACAAAUAAAUGAAAUAAGCUGGCAAAUCAAAUUCCUCAGUCCAUAGACUAAGCAACUCUUAGUAUGGCAGUUAAAUUAGAGCUAGUAUCUAGAAGAGAUAAUAAAGGAAAUAAACUGGAGAGCAACAAUUAAAUAAAUAAUAAUUAAACAUAAAGCUUUCUAACAGAAGACUAACAUAAUGGUAUUUAAGCUAACCCUGCUAUUUUCCUAGAACAUUUAGAAUAAAUUCUGAAGCUCCAAGAAGCUCAGAUCCCAUCACCAAAAUAUGACUCAGCUGUCCUGCCCACAGACUGAAGUUACCAAUAAAGCACUCUCCCCUCCCUACCUUUUUUUAUAACAAGUUCCUAAGAAUCUUCAGAAAUAACUCUUUUCUGGCUUUUCUCUCCUCAGAGACUUUAAGAAAAGCUCCUUUUCUAUUCCUGAUCUAGUUAUCUCUUCUGUGUACAAUCUGAAAAAAAAAGUCUAUAGAGUACUACAUCUCUCCUUUCAGUCCUGUGACCUUCGACUUCCAUCAUGAAUUUUCUCCCUCUUCCUCAUUCUCCCUUUCCUUUUCUGGGAUUUACUGAAAUUCAUUUCCUUAAAUCCACAGAGAAACAGAAGCAGUUUUGCAAGUUGCUGCAAUAUCCUGAAAGAGGCAUUUUAAAAUGCUUUUAUUUAUGAACUCAGUCUAUUUGUUGUUUUGCUUGUUUUAAAACAUAUUUUAAAUAAAACCAACAUAGAAAAUUUCUUAAACACACAGAAUUUUCAGCAGUCAUUUUGGUAAACAACAUAAACCAUAUAAUUUGGCACGUAUGUAAAUAUAUGUUAUGCUUCUAUGUAUUACAAAUGCGUAUGCGCUCAUAUGUAAUUUUUUAAAAAAAGCAAGCAAGGACUGGUUGAUGUAACCAAUUUCCACAUCACUUUUCAUUAUCUAGAUUUCAGGAUAUAUACCAUACGUACAGUUAGGUGACCAGUUUUCAACCAUAAAGCUUAAAUUGGUAAGUAAUUUUAUUCCCAUAAGCCAUUUUCAGGUUGUCUUUUACUAUCAAAAUGUGCAUAUACAUUCUACUUCUCUCUAUUUCCCUGUUCAGAUUUUUUAAUUAAAAUUACCAAAUAAAGUUUAUCUGUAUUUUACAAACCUAAAAGAUCCAUCAGAACAAAGUACAUUGUCCUGGUUGAGUGUGGUGGCUCAAGCCUGUAAUCCCAGCACUUUGGGAAGCCAAGGAUCACUUGAAGCUAGAAGUUCAAGACCAGUUGGGGUAACAUAGCAAGAUCUUGUCUCAGAAAAUAUUCUUAAAAGUAGCCAGGUGUUGGCAUUGUGAUGUACUCCAGUGAUGGGGUCACCCACAUUGUGCCCAUCUAUGAGGGGUAUGCCCUCCCCCACACCAUCCUGCAUCUGGACCUGGCUGGCUGGGACCUUACUACUUCAUGAAGAUCCUCACCAAGCUACUGCUUCACCACCAUGGCUGAGCGGGAAAUCAUGUGUGACGUCAAGGAGAAGCUAUGCUACCUUGCCCUGGAUUUCAAGCAGGAGAUGGCCAUGGCAGCCUCCAGCUACUCCCUGGAGAAGAGCUAUGAGCUGCCCCAUGGCCAGGUCAUCACCAUUUGCAACAAGCAGUUCCACUGCCCUGAGGCACUCUUCCUGCCUUCCUUCCUAGACAUGGAAUCUUGUGAAUCUCUGCAUCCAUGAAACAACCUUCAACUCCAUCAUGAAGUGUGAUGUGGACAUCCGCAAAGACCUGUAUGCCAACACAGUGCUGUCUAGUGGUACCAUCAUAUACCCUGGCAUCACCAAAAUCAUGCAAAAAGAGAUCAUCGCCCUGGUGCCCAGCACAACGAAGAUCAAGAUCAUUGCUCCUCUGAGCGCAAGUACUCCGUGUGGAUGGGCGGCUUCAUCCUGGCCUCGCUGUCCCCAUUCCAGCAGAUGUGGAUCAGCAAGCAGGAGUACCACGAGUCCAGCCCCUCUGUCAUCUACUGCAAAUGCUUCUAGGCAGACUGUGAUUUAGUUGCGUUACACCCUUUCUUGACGAAACCUAACUUGGGAAGAAAACGAGAUUGGCGUGGCUUUAUUUGUUUUUUGGUUGUUUGGGGUUUUUGUUUUUGUUUUUGGGUUGACUCAGGAUUUAAAAACUGGGACGGUAAAGGUGACAGCAGUCACUUGGAGCAAGCAUCCCUCAGAGUUCUAUGAUGAGGCCCAGGACUUUGAUUGUACAUUGUUCUUUUUUAAAAUAGUCAUUCCAAAUACCGCGAGAUGCAUUGUUACAGGAAGUCCCUUGCCCUUCCAAAAGCCACCCCACUUCUCUCUAAGGAGAAUGGCCCAGUCCUCUCCCAAGGCCACACAGGGGAGGUAAUAGCAUCGCUGUUGUGUAAAUUAUGUAAUGAAAAAUUUUUUAAAUUAUGCCUUAAUACUUUAUUUUGUUUUAUUUGGAAAGAUUUUAGCCUCUGUGGCUACCCCUUUUUUAUCCCUCAACUUGAGAUGUAUGAAGGCUUUUGGUUUCCCUGGGAGUGGGUGGAGGCAGCCAGGGCUUACCUGUACACUGGCUUGAAUAGUUGAAUAAAAGUGAACACUAGUUGAAUAAAAGUACAUACCUUAAAAAUGAAAAAAAAAAAUAGCCAGGUGUUGGUGGCACAUACUUGUAGUCCCAGCUACUCAGCUGAGGUGUGAGGAUCUCUAGAGCCCAGUCAUUCAAGGCUGUAGUGAGUUAUGGUCACACCACUCCAGCCUGUAUGAUACAGCAAGGCCCUGUCUCUAAAAAAUGAAAAUAUAUACAUUAUGUUUUAAAAAAUAUACUCUCCUGAAUUGUUCUUUGCAAAUUCUUAAAUAGCAUACUAUAUUACUUGCUUUAAAUAAUACAUAUUACCAUGAAUGUAUAUUACCAAAGAAAAUAAACAUUUGUACUUAGGUUUAACUACAAUGGUAAUCAUAGACAUCUACAGCAUUAUUUUUUUUUAGAGCAGGAUUCUAAAUAGAAUAUUCAGAAACAAAGUUAAUUUGUACUUGUUUUCUGCAUUCAAAAUAAUAAUUAGGAUAUGUUUCUCCCAACAGGGUAAAAAAAAAAGCAUGUAACUAUGCAUUUUUGUAUUCUUUUGCUUGCUUAGAACCUUCCAAAAGGCUAAUAAUAUUUUUUUUAAUUUUGUUGAUACACACACACAGCAUAUCUGUAAGGAGCAUAUAAACAGACAGAGAGCAUACGAGAGAGAAAGAACUUAUUUUUCAAUCAAUUUUCACCAAAUAUUUUCAUCAACUUCUGUGGGAAUUCUACUUAAAGAUGAACAGAAGAUAUAACCCUUAGUCAGUAAGCAUGAUUAUAUGAGAUAGGAAAUGCUGUUUCUAUGCCCCGUUUUAGCUUUGGCUUUACUUUUUUCCUCCCUCCAGAUCUAAACUGGUUAAGCAAAGUAAAGUGCAGAAUUAUGGCAAACUAAGCUCUUGUUUCCUUAUAUUAUGUGUAUUUUUUUUUUUAGAUAAAAGACUUACUUAGGGGGAUUUUGAUGUUAGUAGUUUUUGAGUCUGGGAAAAAUUGUUCUCCUACUGCAGAUUUAUAACUCUAGUCUGAGACUUCUAAAUGCCUUAUGCCAACAUUGUAAAUUUUAUUGUGAUGCUGUUACGUUACAGUUUAAGGCAUAAUUUUUUUAAAAGCAUUUCAUCUUGUAGUUUGGGAUAAUAGUUAUAAAGCUAGUCUCUAUAGAAACCAUUUUAACUUAUGAUCUUAGAACGUCGGGUAAUAAUGCAGAGGAUUAUUGGCCCAAACUUUUUUUAAAUGAGAAAUAUUUUACUGAAUUGACUCUUUCUAAACACAAGUCUGGAGAGGAACGUGUGCUCUUAAGAUGACUACCUUUUAAUCAGAGAUUAUCACUUUCCAUUUCCAUUAGUCUCUCUUUCUUUGGCAUGUGAUGUAUGCUAAAUUAAAUAGGAUUUAUUGGUUCAGCUAGAUUCUGAAUUACCCUCUUUUCCUGUGGAUUAGGAGAGUGCAUUUUUAGCCCUUUUCCUUGAAAUCCAUCAGGAUCUUUUAUGUGGACUAUCUAGUAUUCUGCACGCUUCCAAUGCUUAAUAAAUAUUACAUUACAAUAUUAGCAUAAUAAUAAAUCAUCUUAAAGUACUACAUGGGCUAUUGAGAUCCCAUUCAGUUUGAGCCGAGACAUCAAAAAGUUUUAUUUUCUCUAUAUGCAUGCAAAAUAAUUUAAAACUUCCCUUCCAUGAAAUGUCCUUGCAUCCAUAAGUCUACAUGUUACAAAGUGAAGUGGUAAAGUGUGUAUCUUCCAGUUAUGUAUUUAACUUGUUCGAUAUAUUCUGGGCCUGAAUUUGCCAUUUUAAUAAGAGACAGUUUAAAAUUGGGCAGACAAAAUGGAAAUUGCACCAUUUGUCAAGUAAAUGUUAGUUUCCCAAUGGCAAUUCUGAAAUUUUUAUACAAGAUUACUAGGCCAGAAGCUAGAUAGUGUUUCUUGCCAUUAAGAAGUUCUGCUUUGUCUAUGAUUGGUCAUGUCACACAGACCUAGAGUAACAGCCACUGAAAACAUGAGGAUUUUCCUUACAGUUACAGAAACAAAAAUGAAGUAGAAAAUGAUUUUAUUAACACAAUUUCAUCCUCACUGGUUGCUUUAAGGAAGGUCCUAGUUUGAAACUGCCAUCAAGGAAAAGAAUGAAAAUAUUUUCCUUUCCAAAGGUAGUGUUCAAAUGUUGUACAUUUUAUCUACCUAUAUAUAAAAAGGAUACAUUAUCUGCAGUAGAUAGCAAAAAUGGCCAAAAUUACCUCCUUACGGUGUAAUUUUGCAGUUAGUCCCCCUCCCUAUCAAUAGAUAGAGUUGUGUUUUUUUACCCUUUAAAUCUGAACUGAUGUUGUGACUUGCGUUGGCUAACAGAAUGUGGCAAAAUGCUGUACCAAUUUUGAGCCAUGCCUCAAGUGGUCUUCAAGCAUACCUCGAGGAAUGCUGUCCAGUUGCCAUGGCAAGACUUGUCUGCCUAAUGGCAGGCUUGUCUGCAGGCAGCUGCCUAUAGAUGCAUGAAGAAGCCCAACUGAGACUAGAAGAACUGUGGCCCAAAGCCCAGCCUAAACUGCCAGAGGUUCUUGUAAGUCCUCACAUUUUGAGGUGGU